rnacentral:lncRNA from 1 species
GUCAGAACAACCCCAGGGGGAGCUCCUGGUGCAGAACCGGAGCCCGAGACCCUAUGACACUCGCUCCCUCUCUUCCUGCAAGAGCCUCGGGCGAGGAAGCGCCCAGCCCCUCGGACCUGCACUUCAGAGCCCUAACCAUGCCAGCCCCUCCCAGGACAUCUCCGCGCCUGGUGUAGCUGAGGGCUGGUGCCCUGCCCACGGACAGCAGACGAGGGAACGAGGCAAGAGAGGUAAAAAAGUAACUGGCAGAGAUCACACAGCCAGCCGCAGAGACGGGACCCAAUCCUGGGUACUAGGAGUCUACAGGCCCACCGUCUUAACCACACUGCUACACCACCUGCCAAUCACGGCGCACUAAAGUUCUCUUGUGUUGAUGGAUGCAUCAGAAUGACACUGCAUGAAAACUGCGAAUCAGAAGGCCAUGGAGCCCCCCAGUGGCUCAUGAUGUGGGAAUCAUGGUGGAGUGCACGGUGAAACAAGACUGCUCACUUCAUGGCCAGGGAACAAAGGAGAAGGGAGACGAGGCUGGGGUCCUGCAGUCUCGUUCCAGGGCACAGUCCCAGUGGCCCCCACUAAGCCCCACCCCUGAAAGAUGCCAACACCAAUCUGGGGACUAAGCCUUCAACGCAUAGGCCUUGGGAACAUUCUAGAUCCACGCUGUAGCAAGUAUCGUCUAGGCCUAGUGGCUCGCUUCUGAGGAACAGUUAACCACGCCAGUGGGAGGUCACCCCUGACAUCCAGGCUAUGAAUGACUCUGCUUUCUGUUUUGCUCAUCUGCCUGCUUGCUUGGAAGACAUGAGUUUGCCUGUGUCGAGCUGUGCACACAAAGGCUGACAGCCUGGGAGGACUAAAAGGAGCUGACUGCUGCCUCAGUCUCAUGGGUGAACUUGAAAGCCCGUCGUCCCCCAGCCAAGCCUUGGGAAGACACCAGCCCGGGCUGACUCCUGGACUUCAGUCCAUGGGAGACCCUGUGCCUUGGACUCAGCCAAGCUGUGUUUCAUCUCCAGACCCACAGAAAUUGUAAGACAAGAAAUGCUGCUAUGUUAAGAUGCUGAAUCCGUCACUGACAUAGCUGUUUAAGUGUAUUUCAGAGCUCUGACUCUGCAUCUGACCACAGGCCUAUUUCCUGGCUAGAAAAAGGACAAAAACGUUCAACUGCCAUUGGCAUAAGGUGAAGAUGCAGUGCUAGAUAAAGAAGCAAUUGUGAGAGAGAUGAGGCAUCAGUAUGGCUUUUCCAAUUAGCCCCAGUCUUCCCUAGCUCAACACCCCAGAGUCAUACUGUGCCCCUACACCACUCGGG